UACGGAGGGGACUAGCGUUGUUCGGAAUUACUGGGCGUAAAGCGCACGUAGGCGGAUUUGUAAGUCAGGGGUGAAAUCCCGGGGCUCAACCUCGGAACUGCCUUUGAUACUGGAGAGCUUGAGUCCGGGAGAGGUGAGUGGAACUCCGAGUGUAGAGGUGAAAUUCGUAGAUAUUCGCAAGAACACCAGUGGCGAAGGCGGCUCACUGGCCCGGUACUGACGCUGAGGUGCGAAAGCGUGGGGAGCAAACAGG
rnacentral:rRNA from 1 species